rnacentral:rRNA from 1 species
CCUACGGGUGGCAGCAGUGAGGAAUAUUGGUCAAUGGCCGAGAGACUGAACCAGCCAAGCCGCGUGAGGGAAGACGGCCCUUCGGGUUGUAAACCUCUUUUGUCGGGGAGCAAAGCGAGUCACGUGUGCCCCAAUGAGAGUACCCGAAGAAAAAGCAUCGGCUAACUCCGGGCCAGCAGCCGCGGUAAUACGGAGGAUGCGAGCGUUAUCCGGAUUUAUUGGGUUUAAAGGGUGCGCAGGCGGUGGUGCAAGUCAGCGGUCAAAUAGCGGGGCUCAACCCCGUACUGCCGUUGAAACUGCAAGCCUUGAGUGGGCGAGAAGUAUGCGGAAUGCGUGGUGUAGCGGUGAAAUGCAUAGAUAGCACGCAGAACUCCGAUUGCGAAGGCAGCAUACCGGCGCGAAACUGACGCUCAGGCACGAAAGCGUGGGUAUCGAACAGGAUUAGAUACCCUGGUAGUC